AAAUCCUCGCGGUAAUCCACACUCUCUUGCGAGAGUUGGGGUGUGCGUCGCGUUUGUAGCACUGUGAACCGGUUGGGUAUGGUGGCUGGGCGUCUGCUCGCCCGGGGUGUGUGUCGGCCUCCGGCAUACUUAAAUCGAACGGGAGCCCGGUGGCCGCCGUUUGGGCCUCGUGCGAGUUCGACGCCUCGAUCGCCAUACUGUUUUUCAUGACGGUUGGUACGUGUGUGUCUGAUGGUAAGCGGAGGUUAAAUGUUGUGCAGAGUACAACUUCUGACGGUGGAUCUCUAGGCUCGUGCCUCGAUGAAGAACGCAGCAAGCUGCGAUACGUAGUGUGAAUUGCAGAAUUCAGUGAAUCAUCGAGUCUUUGAACGCAAAUGGCGCUCCCGGGGUCUCCCCGGGAGCAGGUCUGUCCGAGUGCCCGCCGACAAACAUUCGCAAUCCGCUCCGUGCGGUAGCGAGAGUGAGGAGUUGCGGUGGUGUGGUGUUGCACCAGUGCAUCCCUUGAAACGUGUGGAGUGCGCGUGUACCAGUGUGCAUGUCUGCCCGCUCGGGUGCCCGCUUCAACAGCUAAAGUGUUGUGCGGCAGGCUCCCCGUCGGGCCUUCACGCUGUACACCGUACGGUAGUGAGAGUACAAUUCCGGACCUCGGAUCAGGCCAGACCACCCGCUGAAUAAGUCAAUCGG
rnacentral:rRNA from 1 species